rnacentral:rRNA from 1 species
AUUGAACGCUGGCGGCAGGCCUAACACAUGCAAGUCGAGCGGAUGAAGGGAGCUUGCUCCUGGAUUCAGCGGCGGACGGGUGUGUAAUGCCUAGGAAUCUGCCUGGUAGUGGGGGAUAACGUCCGGAAACGGGCGCUAAUACCGCAUACGUCCUGAGGGAGAAAGUGGGGGAUCUUCGGACCUCACGCUAUCAGAGGAGCCUAGGUCGGAUUAGCUAGUUGGUGGGGUAAAGGCCUACCAAGGCGACGAUCCGUAACUGGUCUGAGAGGAUGAUCAGUCACACUAGAACGGAGACACGGUCCAGACUCCUACGGGAGGCAGCAGUGGGGAAUAUUGGACAAUGGGCGAAAGCCUGAUACAGCCAUGCCGCGUGUGUGAAGAAGGUCUUCGGAUUGUAAAGCACUUUAAGUUGGGAGGAAGGGCAGUAAGUUAAUACCUUGCUGUUUUGACGUUACCAACAGAAUAAGCACCGGCUAACUUCGUG